rnacentral:lncRNA from 1 species
GCGGGGAGGGGGGAGGAAGCAAGUAGGGAGGGCAGCAGAGGGUGGGUCCAGGUACAAAAAGAUUGGCGCUCAGAGGGAAGGCCACUGCCCCGGGCCCCAGUGCCCUCGCUAGCUCAGGUUCCUAACGACGCCCCGCCCUCACGCUCCUAACGGUGCCACGCCCUCUUCUCGCCCCGCCCCUUCUGCUUGUGUCUAAUCUCCAUUGCGGACGUUAAAACCAUGCAAUGACUGAAGAAAAAGGCAAGCAUCUGCGGCUUCGAAGCAAGAUACUCAACCACAGCUGAGACUUUCUUUGUCUACCCCCCACUCCCGCCUCGAGGGAGGCCCACGUGAAGAAGAUGCAGAUUUCCAGAGCCAUAAAUUAAGGGGCGAUUAGUCACGUUGCAAUCUUUCUUCAAAGGAUUCUUUAAAGGCUCCUUCAUUGAAGUGUUUACAGCACAGUAACUUGCAGACUGAGAGGCUGGGGUGGGGGUGGGGGUGCCAUCAGGGGAACAGCCAGAGAACAGAGAAGACACUGGGAGAAAAGUUGGGAAGGCCCUCCCACGGGAGCCACCCUGCGGAGGACCUGACAGACAAGAUUUCAUGGAUUCAGCAGUGGGUCGCCCAGCACCCGCUUGGUGGUGCAUGUAUCCCCGCUGCUGGGGAAGUGAAUAGGUCCGAAGUGCUUGAACGAUGGGAUAGGCUUUCCCCUAACGAGCCGCAUCUAACCUCCAGCUGGAAGGCCUUCCUGCGCCCAAGCCACUGACCAGACCAAGGACUCUAACCAGCGUGAGAACCAUCCAGCACCCCCCAUCCCCCUGCCCUCUCCUCCCUUCAGCCUGGGGCUGAAUGAGCCGCCCCCCAGGCCCCCAUUCUCUUCUCAGCUCUUCUGUGGUGUCCAGUGUGAGAUGCCCAAGGCUGAGAACCGGGUACCUAGGACUGCCCCUUUGUCCACCACCCGCCGAGCUGGGGUCCGUGGCUUCACACAGCCAGACACCCACCCGGGGCCGCGUGGAAAGCAUGCAGCAGUCCUUCUGUGUCUGCCCGCCCAGAGCACCGGAACUCUGGUGGAACGCAGGUUUUCACCCACACCCUCUUUCACCCACACCCACUGCCCUGUACUUGCUGUUUCUGAUCUGAGUUUCUUACAACUUUGUGUUCCAG